CUCUCUUGUCUGCUGCCCGGCGAGACGUGACUUUGUUCCUCCUUUGCCUUCUGCGAUGAUGGUGAGGCCUCCCCAGCCACGUGGAACUGUGAGUCCAUUAAACCUCUUUCCUUUAUAAAUUACCCAAUCUUUACGAGCAGUGUGAGAACGGGCUAAUACACCUAUCGUACAAUCCAGCCAUUUCCAAGCCUGGAUAUUAACCCGAGAGAAAUGAAACCAUAUAUCUACACAAAGACCUGUGCACAGAGAUUCAUAGCAGCCUGGUUUGUCAUGGCCCCACCUGGAAGCAACCUAAAUGUCCAUCAACACCUGAAUGGAUACAUAGCUGUGGUCUAUCCACACACAGAGUAUGACUCUGCUGAUCGGAUACACAGCUGUGGUCCAUCCAUCCACGGGGUACGACUCCGCUGAAUGGAUACACAGCUGUGGUCCAUCCACACACGGGGUACGACUCCGCUGAAUGGAUACACAGCUGUGGUCCAUCCACACACGGAGUAUGACUACAGUGAAAGGAAACAAACUGCUGUGCACAGUACAACAUCAUGACCCUUAAAAUAGGUCUGCCGGGGGGAGGAAGACAGGCAGCAGAGAGUGGAUAGGAUGUGAUUUCACUCGUAAAAAAUCUUAGGAAAAUAAGCUAUAGUGACAGAGAAAAGCACAGAUGUUGCCUGGGGACACGAUAAGUGGGGCCGGGUGGGGGUGGGUGGGAUUGCAACGAGGAAGCUUCUGGGGGUGACAGAUCUGUUCCUUGUCUCAAUUGUGGUGCUGGUUUCACGGGUGCAUCCUCUGUCAAACUACUCAAGUUGUGCACUUCAAAGCCAUGUAGCUUAUUCAAUGUCAAGUACACCCCUCUAGGCUCUUAGAAAAGAAAAUCCUGUGGGACCCAGAGCAUAAGCUUUCCGAUGGCUCUUUCCUCUCGGGUAAGGGGCAGCCAGGACUCCUGCCCAUCCCAGUCCACCUCCCCACAGACCCACAUCCUCCCUCUCAGCACCGGGUCCUAGAAGGAGCUCGGCAGGGGCCGGGCAGGGAGCCCAGUGCCCACUCUACACAGCUCCCUGGUCCCGAAGGGUCUGGGGCCCCAGAGCCAGAGAGGGGUGAAGAACAGAGGACUAGGUGUGGGCUCAGCGUGCGGUCACAGGGGAGUGAGCACGCAGCGGCGGCACAGCCCAGCCCCGCUCCUCUCCACUUCCUGCCCUUUUCCUGGUCAGGAUGAUGAUAUGACCUGACAGGUGGGACCCGCGAGAUGCCAGGCAUGAGCCCCCCAUCCAACUGUCGAGAAGGAGGACACAGGGACAGCCCAAACAGUGGCCCCCAGACCAGGAUGCAGUCACAGAUCCCAGAAACCACAGGCCCCGAAAACCACACUCAGUGGCCAAGCCGCGGGAAUCCAUGGCAGAGACAAUUCAUUCCACCAGUCCUCAGCGCCGAUCCUGGAAUAUUGCCCUGCCUGAUUGGGAUCACACGUUGAGUAAAUUGUAGAAGAGUGGUAACAGUAAUAAAACCCAGGCCUGCCCACUCAGGGGCUUUCGUAGCGCUCAAUCAACCAAUCAAUCAAUAAGUACAAGGCAUAUUAGAAAACAAAAGACACUUUGGGCAAGGAAACCAAAACCUGAGGGGCUGUACCAUGUCGGCCGUGCUGGCAACGAGGUCGCCUGACUCUGGGGUCAGAGGGCAGCGCCUCUGGGUGGAGAAUGGAGAGAGGGCACCGCCGAGCCCAGUGCUGGUGUUGGGGGAGACCUGUGCAGUGAGGAUUCUGACCCGCUUAAGGGAGGAGGCUCUGAGUGCACAAGCUGCCUUCUGCCAGCUUCCCUCCCACCUCCCUCCCACCCCACCUUCGUCCUAAAACCUCUCCCUCUUCUGGGGCUCAGUGUCAUCUCCCCUCCCCUGGGAGCAUCUGACGACUCAGAGUCUGGGGGCUUAUACUGUGCUCUCCGUGUCCCCCUUCCUUCAUCACAGUGGAGUGGCUGUGCGGUCAGUGGUGGGCUGGCUGUCCCCCCGCAGGGCCGGGCUCUGUGCUCAGGGCAGGGUCUCCUUUGCUCACCGUGGCUGCUUGGGGCUCAGUACAGGAGGCACCCAGGGCACCCCCCGAGGGCACUUAUUGCUGCCACUCAGGCACGGCCUCCCUCCACUGAGGUAACAUGGGCUUGGCCCCCCGAGGGGCACAGCUGAACUCAGAGGCCAGGUGGUGAAGGUGCAGGGAGUGGCAGGCGUCACCCUGGGGGUGAAGGCUGGGGCUGGGAACUUCUGGGCACCCCCUGGCCCUUGCCAUGCCCAGGUCUACACUCGGCCCUCCCAGUGAGCCCACGGACCUCUGCACCCACACUAGGCCGGGUGGGCCAGGCUCCAGGCAGCGGAGUCGGAACCGUGGGGCUGCGAGACCUGCUGCCUCGGGGGGCAAUGGCCUGGGGGCUGCUGUCUCCCACAUGAAGCUGCAGCCAGCAGAACUCGGGGAAACCGGCAUCCAGUGUCCCACAGAGGGGGGUUUGCCAGGUGCCACCAGCCACCUCCACAUUAACUCCUUCAGGCCAGGCUGCCCCUUGGGCAGAGGAACCCUGCCUAGCCCAGGGGCUGUCCACGGAGUCUGAGAGUGGACAGGAGGACCACCAGAGUCGGAUCCGAUUCAUCCUCUCAGGCCUGGGGCAAACCCACCCCAUGUGAAUGAAGCCCCCUAACAACAGGAAUUUGUGGGCCCCCCCCUCCUGCAGCCAUCUGUCCCCCUUAUGCUGAGGGCAGGAGCCAAGGCUCCUCCAUGCUCCCCACACCCUCUCCUGUGAGCCUCAGCCCCUCGGAGGCCUCUGCUAGAGGCUUAUGGGUCCCUGCAGGUCACAGGUUGAGAAGAGUCAUCUGUGAAGCAGCCGCACUGGGCCUGCCAGCAUUUCCACCUGGAGAGUUGAGUCGAGCAGAGAAAAGGCAGAAGGAAGCCUCGGAGAGACUAACAGAAGCAAAAGCAAAGCCAGAGGCCUAGGGAGGGCCCUGAUUUCCAGAGGCGGGGAAGGGAGCCUGCGGGGGUCUGAGCCCUCUCCGGGAGAGAGACCGAGGCUGGGGAGAACCCUCCACCCUCUGCGGGGUCUGGGCUCAGGGCAGCUGGUCCCAGGAGAGGGCCUACUUGGCUGAUCAGAAGGAAAACAGGUGUUGUCAGGCCUUAUGCAACCCACGGUUUUGUGGGCUCAGCUUUCUGGCUAAUUCCAAGAGGAAGCGCUUGAGGGAGGAGGACCUUUCCCUCUCCCAUGGGCCCAGAUCCUUCUCACCCACUCGCCCCCUUCAAAUCUUUGCUUUGUUCUUGAUGAGGGAUUCACGUGCACACAGUCACCUUUGGUACAACGUGUGAGGCUCUCAUGCAUGAGUCCCAAGGGACCCUAGGAGGCAGGUGGCAGGAAGCCCCGGCACGGGGGCCGAGUGGGCAGAGCAGGGGCCAGGCGGCCGGGGUCAGGUGGCUCUGAGUGCAGAGGUCGGCGAACACUCUCUGUAAAGGACUGAUUAAUACACAAUUUAGGAGUUGCGAGUCAUACGGUCUCCGUCCCAACUACUCUAUUCUGCCUGGCACUUGGAAGCUUCCGGGGAUGAUAGAAACCAACCAGAGACAAUAUGGAAGCCAUGGGCAUGGCUGUGCCGAUAAAACUUUAUUCACAAACAGGCACGGUGGCCCUGCUUUGUCUUAGCCAGUGGGGAACUCCCUCAGCCCUAGGGCAUCUGAUCCACCCAUAGGGCCAAAUCACAGGGAAGCAAGGACGGAUGAGCAGCACAGUGGUGUGGUCACUGGUCAGGGCAGGGCAAACGGCCAUGGCAUCCCACCAUUGUCUGUGAGGCAAGCAAGCACUGAUGGCUGCGGUGAGGGAGGCACGCUGGGGCUUCGCCUAGCCUUGCAGAUGGGAGGCAGGGGGCUGGAUGCUGGCACUGGGUGCAAAGCUCUGCGGGCCAUGCCUAUAAGGGACUGGUGGGAGCUCCCUCUUCCCAUGAGGAUGGGGGCCAUGAUCCCCACAUUGCCCUCUUGGUGAGGGCUGAGGGAUGCGCUCCUCCAGCCAGGGUGUGUGGAGAGAACCUCUGACCUCAGCGCCGGGCUAGGUGGGCCGCACCUUCAUCUCCGACACCUUGUAGCUGUAGUUGUUCCCUUUCCCCGACUUCCAGUUGAUGCCGUUUGUAAAGCUGUCACGGGCCCCCCCGAGGUAGACACCAUUCAGGUGUGACAGGUGACAGCUGGCAUACCACCAGGCUCCCUGAUAGUGCACGGCACAGUUUUCAGCAUCUCGGUCGUUGUCUUGGUCUUCGGUGGAGAAGGGGUAGUUGUUGUGGUGUGUCAGAAUCACCUGCUCAGAGGGAAAAAUAGGGCAUUCUCCAUGAAGUUCCAGGGAGCCUGGAUCUGCUCCGCUGGGUCCUUGGUCUGUCCUCACCCCUCGGGCACUGGUGAGGCGGAGAGGUGAUGAGGGGCAGAGACCUGGCGUUGGAGGCCACCCCGAUCUAGGGGAGGCCCAUGUCCUCAGUGCUGUGUGUCCUGUGGCAGAUCACUUAACUCCUCUGAGCUUUGUGCUCUGGGCUGCCAAGUGGGGAUAGUAACAAGGUUGUGGCCAGGGUUGGAUUAGAGAAUGUGCAUUUUAAAUCUCUUAUUGUAAUUUAUGGCAUUUAGAAAGAGCUUAAUAAACAGUGGGCACUUUCAAUAACUAAUGACCACCAAUAUUUCUAAGAAACUUGGGGAAUUGGGGCUGACAAAGCAUUUUCCCUCCCAGACCUUGGGAAUGUGGUUGUAGAAUUACGGGGCUGGAAGGGGCUUUCUAGGUCCUCUGGAGAGGGGCAGUGUGGGGUCCAAGGACACAGAGCCAGGUGUGGCACAGCUGCAGCCAAACCAAGGUUGUUUACUUCUUUUUUUUUUUUUUUUAAAGUAUCCCCA
rnacentral:lncRNA from 1 species